GGCUUAGAGUUUGAUCAUGGCUCAGGAUGAACGCUAGCUACAGGCUUAACACAUGCAAGUCGAGGGGCAUCAGGAAGAAAGCUUGCUUUCUUUGCUGGCGACCGGCGCACGGGUGAGUAACACGUAUCCAACCUGCCCUUUACUCGGGGAUAGCCUUUCGAAAGAAAGAUUAAUACCCGAUGGCAUAAUGAUUCCGCAUGGUUUCAUUAUUAAAGGAUUCCGGUAAAGGAUGGGGAUGCGUUCCAUUAGGUUGUUGGUGAGGUAACGGCUCACCAAGCCUUCGAUGGAUAGGGGUUCUGAGAGGAAGGUCCCCCACAUUGGAACUGAGACACGGUCCAAACUCCUACGGGAGGCAGCAGUGGGGAAUAUUGGUCAAUGGGCGCUAGCCUGAACCAGCCAAGUAGCGUGAAGGAUGAAGGCUCUAUGGGUCGUAAACUUCUUUUAUAUAAGAAUAAAGUGCAGUAUGUAUACUGUUUUGUAUGUAUUAUAUGAAUAAGGAUCGGCUAACUCCGUGCCAGCAGCCGCGGUAAUACGGAGGAUCCGAGCGUUAUCCGGAUUUAUUGGGUUUAAAGGGAGCGUAGGUGGACUGGUAAGUCAGUUGUGAAAGUUUGCGGCUCAACCGUAAAAUUGCAGUUGAUACUGUCAGUCUUGAGUACAGUAGAGGUGGGCGGAAUUCGUGGUGUAGCGGUGAAAUGCUUAGAUAUCACGAAGAACUCCGAUUGCGAAGGCAGCUCACUGGACUGCAACUGACACUGAUGCUCGAAAGUGUGGGUAUCAAACAGGAUUAGAUACCCUGGUAGUCCACACAGUAAACGAUGAAUACUCGCUGUUUGCGAUAUACAGUAAGCGGCCAAGCGAAAGCAUUAAGUACUCCACCUG
rnacentral:rRNA from 1 species